UUGAACGCUGGCGGCAUGCCUUACACAUGCAAGUCGAACGGCAGCGCGGGGCAACCUGGCGGCGAGUGGCGAACGGGUGAGUAACACAUCGGAACGUACCCAGGAGUGGGGGACAACCUCGAGAAAUCGAGGCUAAUACCGCAUACGUCCUGAGGGAGAAUGCGGGGGAUCUGCAAGGACCUCGCGCUCAUGGAGCGGCCGAUGUCGGAUUAGCUAGUUGGCGGGGUAAAAGCCCACCAAGGCUACGAUCCGUAGCUGGUUUGAGAGAACGACCAGCCACACGGGGACUGAGACACGGCCCAGACUCCUACGGGAGGCAGCAGUGGGGAAUUUUGGACAAUGGGGGCAACCCUGAUCCAGCCAUGCCGCGUGAGUGAAGAAGGCCUUCGGGUUGUAAAGCUCCUUCGGCCGGAACGAAAUCGCGUACGUGAAUAACGUGCGUGGAUGACGGUACUGGAAGAAGAAGCACCGGCUAACUACGU
rnacentral:rRNA from 1 species